GUGGACAUGAGGGUCCCGGUGCAGCUCCUCAGCUUCCUGUUGUUCUGGCUCUCAGGUGCCAGGGGUGAUAUCCAGCUGACCCAGUCUCCAUCCAUGUCUGCAUCUCUGGGAGAAAAAGUCACCAUCACCUGCAAGGCCAGUGAGAAUAUUUACGGAAAUUUACACUGGUAUCAGCAGAAACCAGGGGAAGCUCCUAGGCUCCUGAUAUAUGGUGCAUUAAACUUGCAACCUGGGGUCCCUUCCAGAUUCAGUGGCAGUGGAUCUGGCACAGAUUACAUUCUCACCAUCAGCAGCCUAAAGUCUGAAGAUGCUGCCACUUAUUACUGUCAACAGAGUUAUAGUGGCCCACAGUGA